rnacentral:rRNA from 1 species
AUUGAACGCUGGCGGCAUGCCUUACACAUGCAAGUCGAACGGCAGCACGGGAGCAAUCCUGGUGGCGAGUGGCGAACGGGUGAGUAAUAUAUCGGAACGUGCCCAGUCGUGGGGGAUAACGCAGCGAAAGCUGUGCUAAUACCGCAUACGAUCUAAGGAUGAAAGCGGGGGAUCGCAAGACCUCGCGCGAUUGGAGCGGCCGAUAUCAGAUUAGCUAGUUGGUGGGGUAAAGGCCCACCAAGGCGACGAUCUGUAGCUGGUCUGAGAGGACGACCAGCCACACUGGAACUGAGACACGGUCCAGACUCCUACGGGAGGCAGCAGUGGGGAAUUUUGGACAAUGGGCGCAAGCCUGAUCCAGCAAUGCCGCGUGCAGGAUGAAGGCCUUCGGGUUGUAAACUGCUUUUGUACGGAACGAAACGGCCCUUUCUAAUACAGGGGGCUAAUGACGGUACCGUAAGAAUAAGCACCGGCUAACUACGUGCCAGCCGCCGCCGCAGUAA